UACGGAGGAGGCAAGCGUUCUCCGGAAUUCUUGGGCGUAAAGGGAGUGUAGGCGGUUGCCUAAGUCUUCUGUGAAAUCUACGGGCUUAGCCUGUAACGUGCAGAGGAAACUGGGCGACUUGAGUGUCGGAGAGGAUAGGGGAAUACCCGGUGUAGAGGUGAAAUUCGUAGAGAUCGGGUGGAACACCAGUGGCGAAGGCGCCUGUCUGGCUGACAACUGACGCUGAGACUCGAAAGCAUGGGGAGCAAACAGG
rnacentral:rRNA from 1 species